rfam:Caloranaerobacter azorensis H53214 contig94, whole genome shotgun sequence.
GGCCCUAUGGUCAAGUGGUUAAGACACCGCCCUUUCACGGCGGUAACCCGGGUUCGAAUCCCGGUAGGGUCA